GAUUUCUGGCUUGGUGCGCGCCGUCCGCUGCGGUUACGUAGUGUGUGCGGUUGUGCGCCUGCCAUCUUUCUGGUUAGUAUGCUGUGCCCUUCACUGGGUGUCAGGUGCUGAUCGGAUCUUUUACUUUGAAAAAAUUAGAGUGUUCAAAGCAGGCUUGCGCUAUGAAUACAUUAGCAUGGAAUAAUAAUUUAGGACUUUUGUUCUAUUUUGUUGGUUUCUAGGACGAAAGUAAUGAUUGAUAGGGAUAGUUGGGGGUGCUAGUAUUCAGAGGCCAGAGGUGAAAUUCUCGGAUUCUCUGAAGACUAACUUAUGCGAAAGCAUU
rnacentral:rRNA from 2 species